AAAUUGAAGAGUUUGAUCAUGGCUCAGAUUGAACGCUGGCGGCAGGCCUAACACAUGCAAGUCGAGCGGUAACACAGAGAGCUUGCUCUCGGGUGACGAGCGGCGGACGGGUGAGUAAUGUCUGGGAAACUGCCUGAUGGAGGGGGAUAACUACUGGAAACGGUAGCUAAUACCGCAUAACGUCGCAAGACCAAAGAGGGGGACCUUCGGGCCUCUUGCCAUCAGAUGUGCCCAGAUGGGAUUAGCUAGUAGGUGGGGUAACGGCUCACCUAGGCGACGAUCCCUAGCUGGUCUGAGAGGAUGACCAGCCACACUGGAACUGAGACACGGUCCAGACUCCUACGGGAGGCAGCAGUGGGGAAUAUUGCACAAUGGGCGCAAGCCUGAUGCAGCCAUGCCGCGUGUAUGAAGAAGGCCUUCGGGUUGUAAAGUACUUUCAGCGGGGAGGAAGGUGUUGAGGUUAAUAACCUCAGCAAUUGACGUUACCCGCAGAAGAAGCACCGGCUAACUCCGUGCCAGCAGCCGCGGUAAUACGGAGGGUGCAAGCGUUAAUCGGAAUUACUGGGCGUAAAGCGCACGCAGGCGGUCUGUCAAGUCGGAUGUGAAAUCCCCGGGCUCAACCUGGGAACUGCAUUCGAAACUGGCAGGCUAGAGUCUUGUAGAGGGGGGUAGAAUUCCAGGUGUAGCGGUGAAAUGCGUAGAGAUCUGGAGGAAUACCGGUGGCGAAGGCGGCCCCCUGGACAAAGACUGACGCUCAGGUGCGAAAGCGUGGGGAGCAAACAGGAUUAGAUACCCUGGUAGUCCACGCCGUAAACGAUGUCGACUUGGAGGUUGUGCCCUUGAGGCGUGGCUUCCGGAGCUAACGCGUUAAGUCGACCGCCUGGGGAGUACGGCCGCAAGGUUAAAACUCAAAUGAAUUGACGGGGGCCCGCACAAGCGGUGGAGCAUGUGGUUUAAUUCGAUGCAACGCGAAGAACCUUACCUACUCUUGACAUCCAGAGAACUUUCCAGAGAUGGAUUGGUGCCUUCGGGAACUCUGAGACAGGUGCUGCAUGGCUGUCGUCAGCUCGUGUUGUGAAAUGUUGGGUUAAGUCCCGCAACGAGCGCAACCCUUAUCCUUUGUUGCCAGCGGUCCGGCCGGGAACUCAAAGGAGACUGCCAGUGAUAAACUGGAGGAAGGUGGGGAUGACGUCAAGUCAUCAUGGCCCUUACGAGUAGGGCUACACACGUGCUACAAUGGCGCAUACAAAGAGAAGCGACCUCGCGAGAGCAAGCGGACCUCAUAAAGUGCGUCGUAGUCCGGAUUGGAGUCUGCAACUCGACUCCAUGAAGUCGGAAUCGCUAGUAAUCGUAGAUCAGAAUGCUACGGUGAAUACGUUCCCGGGCCUUGUACACACCGCCCGUCACACCAUGGGAGUGGGUUGCAAAAGAAGUAGGUAGCUUAACCUUCGGGAGGGCGCUUACCACUUUGUGAUUCAUGACUGGGGUGAAGUCGUAACAAGGUAACCGUAGGGGAACCUGCGGU
rnacentral:rRNA from 1 species